rfam:Burkholderia sp. TSV86 TSV86_47, whole genome shotgun sequence.
GUUUCCGAGGAGCGUUGCGACGGGCACGGCCCGCCAGGCUCGGAAACGGUCAACCAGGCGGCUUGGCAUCGUCAUUGUCAGCCGCUUACUUGAACGGCGCUCACGUCAC